rnacentral:misc_RNA from 1 species
UUCUAACCCUAAUACAAAAAGCCCUAGGCUUGUACGGCGCAUACUUUUGUCUUCUUUAAAAGUUUUUGGGUCGUCUAAUUUGACCUUCAAAUUCGUACUAAUUGUUCAGAUCUGUGCUGCUGGUUUCUGAUUUUCUUGAGUUUGUGGGUCAUUUCUGUUUUUAAAGCUAGGAUUCCCUUUUUGUAAAAAAAAUUUGGUUGGGUACUUCAAG